GACGAAGGUGGCUAGCGUUAUUCGGGUUCACUGGGCAUAAAGCGCGCGUAGGCGGCUCUUCAAGUCGGAGGUGAAAGCCCGCAGCUUAACUGCGGAACUGCCCUCGAUACUGUCGAGCUUGAGUGCAGGAGGGGUGAUCGGAACUCCAGGUGUAGCGGUGAAAUGCGUAGAUAUCUGGAGGAACACCGGAGGCGAAGGCGGAUCACUGGACUGCCACUGACGCUGAGGCGCGAAAGCUAGGGGAGCAAACAGG
rnacentral:rRNA from 1 species